AUGAGAUUGUGAAUAAGUUACGAGAAACAAAACACAUUUGUGGGAUUACUGGAGAUGGUGUGAACGACGCCUCUGCUUUGAAGAAGGUCGGCAUUGGAAUUGUUGUUGCUGACGCUACAGAUGCUGCAAGGAGUGUUUCUGACAUUGUGCUUACCCAACCUGCCUGGGCUUAGUGUUAUUAUCAGUGCAAUGCUUACAAGUCGCACAAAACAGUCGUUGAUUCUAAAACGCUCCAAACUUGAUUCUAAAAUGUCACCAGACAGUCGUUGAUCCGACUUCCAAGUUUCAACGAGGAUACUAAGCCUUCUUCAAACCCAUCCAACGAAUCAAACUUCUGUUGUAGGGAGUAACUAAAUUAAUGGGUACGCCGGCAAUCCUAAAUUUGGGGCAACAAUGCUCCGUCGGGGAUUGUAAGCUCAUCGAUUUUCUUCCCUUCACCUGCGAUUGUUGCAAUAAGGUAAAGGGGUUGAAACUGACACCUCUAUGCUCAGAUUGAGUGGUCCGAGCCGUGGUCAGGGUGGGACCACCAGGACGAGCACGAGCACAGGCACGAGCAAUGGUGGUCAAGUGGAGGUGUGUCCAUCUUGUAAUGUGAAGUUUUCUAAGAUUGGAGAUUUGAUCACGUAGAGAAAGUUCAUGAGAAGAACGGUGUGAUGAAAGCGACGUUAGAUGUGUGCCCAAAAUGUAGCAAAGGGUUUUGUGACCCGGUCUCGCUUGUGGAGCAUGUCGAAAGAGAACAUCGUGGUACUUUUAAAGCUUUGACU
rnacentral:lncRNA from 1 species